rnacentral:rRNA from 1 species
UACGUAGGGACCAAGCGUUGUUCGGAAUUACUGGGCGUAAAGGGCUCGUAGGCGGCUAACUAAGUCAUAUGUGAAAUCCCUCGGCUUAACCGGGGAACUGCGUCUGAUACUGGAUGGCUUGAGUUCGGGAGAGGGAUGCGGAAUUCCAGGUGUAGCGGUGAAAUGCGUAGAUAUCUGGAGGAACACCGGUGGCGAAGGCGGCAUCCUGGACCGAUACUGACGCUGAGGAGCGAAAGCCAGGGGAGCAAACGGG